ensembl:snRNA U6 U6 spliceosomal RNA
GUGCUCCUUUCAGGGCACAGACACCAAAAUUGGAAUGAUACAGAGAGGAUUAGCAUGGCCCGCGUGCAAGGAUGGCACACAAAUUCAGGAAGCAUUCCAUACUUUA